GUGCCAGCCGCCGCGGUAAUACAGAGGUCCCAAGCGUUGUUCGGAUUCACUGGGCGUAAAGGGUGCGUAGGUGGCGAGGUAAGUCGGAUGUGAAAUCUUCGAGCUCAACUCGGAAACUGCAUUGGAAACUACCUUGCUCGAGGGUUGGAGGGGGGACUGGAAUACUUGGUGUAGCAGUGAAAUGCGUAGAUAUCAAGUGGAACACCAGUGGCGAAAGCGAGUCCCUGGACAACUCCUGACACUGAGGCACGAAAGCUAGGGGAGCAAACAGGAUUAGAUACCCCUGUAGUCC
rnacentral:rRNA from 1 species